GACAGAGGGUGCAAACGUUGUUCGGAAUUACUGGGCGUAAAGCGAGUGUAGGCGGUUUCCUAAGUCAGGUGUGAAAGCCCCGGGCUCAACCCGGGAAGUGCACUUGAAACUGGGUCGCUAGAGUAUCGGAGAGGUUGGUGGAAUUCUCGGUGUAGAGGUGAAAUUCGUAGAUAUCGAGAGGAACACCGGUGGCGAAGGCGGCCAACUGGACGAAUACUGACGCUGAGACAUCGAAAGCGUGGGGAGCAAACAGG
rnacentral:rRNA from 1 species